UACGUAGGUGGCGAGCGUUAUCCGGAUUUACUGGGCGUAAAGCGCGUGCAGGCGGCUUCGCAAGUCGGACGUUAAAUCUCUCGGCUCAACUGAGAGCUGUCGUUCGAAACUGCGAGGCUUGAGGUUGGGAGAGGGAAGCGGAAUUCCCGGUGUAGUGGUGGAAUGCGUAGAUAUCGGGAGGAACACCUGUGGCGAAAGCGGCUUCCUGGCCCACACCUGACGCUAAGACGCGAAAGCGUGGGGAGCGAACAGG
rnacentral:rRNA from 1 species